rnacentral:lncRNA from 1 species
AACCAUGAAGAAAACCACUAGGAACCAUGAACAGAUAUUUCGUAAAAGGCAAUGUGAAUUUUUAAGUCACUUUAACACUUUCAUGUGCAAGCAAAAAGUAUUUAAAUGUACUUUGCUUUCUACCUAAAAAUGAGACUCAAAAGAAACAGAGUAGUAGGAAAAUAGUUAUCUAACCAAAAAAAUUUCCAACUAAAUUUCAUACACAUUAUAAUGUAAACAAUACCAAAUGGUAUUUGCAAAUACAAUAUAUGAACAUAAUAUUUCCAUCAUCAAAAUCAUCCUCAGCAAUUAACUUUAUGGUGCAUCUAAUUGCAUGUAAUCAAAUUAAUAAAGUUAUUUAACCUAACGAUCUACAAGUGAUAGUACCAUAAAGCCCCUAGAUUAAUCCUAAAAUGUAUACAUAAAAAAAGAGAAUAUUUGAAGCAAUUUGAAGUAGAGAAUGUCAAUGACCAGCAGCAUCAUUAUCUAUUUUCCUUGUAACUCGAAGGUAACAAAAAACAACAGCAAAAGUUGCAGUAACUAAGCCACCUAUGAUGACACCCCCACCAGCCAUAUCAGAGGAGUGAUGCUUUCCCAUCCUUCUAAUAUCAGGAGCCUCAGCUUUUUCAUCAUUCUUCAAUGAUAAUGGCUCUGAAGAGCCAUAAACUUUGUCACUUUUAAGCUCCAAUGGAGCUUGAGAGUAGUACUCUUGAGCCCUGGCUUUAAUCAGUACUAACAUGAAGAUCUGAGUUAGCAUGAGAAAAACAAAACCAACCUUGCUCAUUGUGAAGAGUGUGUAUUAUAUAUUAUGUUUGAUGCAACAACUUGUGAAGCUGUGAUUUCUGAUUUGUAGAGGCAGGGGAAUUUGAGGGAAUGUACACAAGGUAGAGGGGUUUUAUAGAGAGGUAAUCAACAAAUGGAGGGUCAAGAUCGUCU